AGCGAACGCUGGCGGCAUGCUUAACACAUGCAAGUCGCACGGGCAGCAAUGUCAGUGGCGGACGGGUGUGUAACGCGUAGGAACGUGUCCUGAGGUGGGGGACAACCCCGGGAAACUGGGGCUAAUACCGCAUAUGGGCUGAGGCCCAAAGCCGAGAGGCGCCUUUGGAGCGGCCUGCGUCCGAUUAGGUAGUUGGUGGGGUAAAGGCCUACCAAGCCUGCGAUCGGUAGCUGGUCUGAGAGGACGACCAGCCACACUGGGACUGAGUCAGAGGCCAGACUCAUACAGUAGGCAGUAGUGGGGAUUAUUGGCCAAUGGGAGACAGCCUGAUCCAGCAAUGCCGCGUGGGUGAAGAAGGUCUUCGGAUCGUAAAGCCCUUUCGCCGGGGACCAUGAUGGCGGUACCCGUAGAACAAGCCCCGGCUAACUUCGUGCAAGCAGCCGCCGUAACAC
rnacentral:rRNA from 1 species